UCCUCUGUAGUUCAGUGGUAGAACGCCACGCUGUUAACGUGGAUGUCGUAGGUUCGAGUCCUACCGGAGGAG
rnacentral:tRNA from 1 species